rnacentral:rRNA from 1 species
AUUGAACGCUGGCGGCAGGCCUAACACAUGCAAGUCGAACGAGUGGCGGACGGGUGAGUAAUGUCUGGGAAACUGCCUGAUGGAGGGGGAUAAAUACUGGCAAAGGUAGCUAAUACCGCAUACCAUCAGAUGUGCCCAGAUGGGAUUAGAGAGUUGGUGGGGUAACGGCUUACCAAGGCGACGAUCCCUAGCUGGUCUGAGAGGAUGACCGGCACCGUUGGAACGUAGACACGGUCCAGACUCCUACGGGAGGCAGCAUGUGGGAAUAUUGCACAAUGGGCGCAAGUCGGAUGCAGCCAUGCCGCGUGUAUGAAGAAGGCCUUCGGGUUGUAAAGUACUUUCAGCGGGGAGGCGUUACCCGCAGAAGAAGCACCGGCUAACUCCGUGCCAGCAGCCGCGGUAAUUC